rfam:Oryza nivara chromosome 12, whole genome shotgun sequence.
UUUAAAUAUAACCAUAAGUUUUCUUUUCUAACUUUAAUCGUUCAUCUUAUUUAAAACCUUUUUUAUAAUUAUUAAAUUUUUAUGAGAUGAUAAAAUAUGAAUAGUACUUUAUUUGUUUUAUUUGUGACUUAUGUUUUUUUAAUAAGACAGAUGAUCAAAAUUAGACGUGGAAAGUUAUGGCUGCACUUAAA